rnacentral:rRNA from 1 species
GACGAACGCUGGCGGCGUGCUUAACACAUGCAAGUCGAACGGUGAAGCGCCUUCCUUUUUGGUGGGUGUGGAUGAGUGGCGAACGGGUGAGUAACACGUGAGUAACCUGCCCCCUUCUUCUGGAUAACCGCAUGAAAGUGUUGCUAAUACGGGAUAUUCUGGGUCUGUCGCAUGAUGGGUCUGGGAAAGAUAUUGUUUCGGUGGGGGAUGGGCUCGCGGCCUAUCAGCUUGUUGGUGGGGUGAUGGCCUACCAAGGCGGUGACGGGUAGCCGGCCUGGGAGGGUGGACGGUCACACUGGGACUGAGACACGGCCCAGACUCCUACGGGAGGCAGCAGUGGGGAAUAUUGCACAAUGGGCGCAAGCCUGAUGCAGCGACGCCGCGUGAGGGAUGGAGGCCUUCGGGUUGUGAACCUCUUUCGCCAGUGAAGCAGGCCUGCCUCGUUUGUGGGUGGGUUGACGGUAGCUGGAUAAGAAGCGCCGGCUAACUACGUG